rnacentral:rRNA from 1 species
UACGGAGGGUGCGAGCGUUGUCCGGAAUCACUGGGCGUAAAGGGCGCGUAGGCGGCGCGAGCAGUCGGCGGUGAAAGCCCGGGGCUCAACUCCGGGUCGGCCGUUGAUACUCUCGUGCUCGAGCACUGUAGAGGCAGAUGGAAUUCCGGGUGUAGCGGUGGAAUGCGUAGAGAUCCGGAAGAACACCGGUGGCGAAGGCGGUCUGCUGGGCAGUAGCUGACGCUGAUGCGCGACAGCGUGGGGAGCAAACAGG